UUGGGUGAUAUAUAUGGGAGAUGGUCUCUGAUGAUAUAUUACAUUUUUCAUAGUUGUUGGAGGUUCAGGUUGAAGCAAUAGCUACCACCUAGUGGUCUAAUUCAACUCGAUUUUCGAAGGGGUUCUUGAAACUUGGCCAUGAGAAGCCCUUUGGUCAAUAAACUAUCAUUAAUUUUCGGCCCUAGACCGCCACUCAACCGAAUACUCUUGUGUCUGGUCAGUGUCUGUGUGCUACUAGUAUUGUUAUCAUCAUUUUCUACUACUACCUUUGACUCGGCGACUUCCUAUGCAAAGCCUGAUAUCUAUACAAAUUAUAGAAAGCUAA
rnacentral:misc_RNA from 1 species